rnacentral:rRNA from 1 species
AGUGAACGCUGGCGGUAGGCCUAACACAUGCAAGUCGAACGGCAGCACAGUAAGAGCUUGCUCUUACGGGUGGCGAGUGGCGGACGGGUGAGGAAUACAUCGGAAUCUACUUUUUCGUGGGGGAUAACGUAGGGAAACUUACGCUAAUACCGCAUACGACCUACGGGUGAAAGCAGGGGAUCUUCGGACCUUGCGCGAUUGAAUGAGCCGAUGUCGGAUUAGCUAGUUGGCGGGGUAAAGGCCCACCAAGGCGACGAUCCGUAGCUGGUCUGAGAGGAUGAUCAGCCACACUGGAACUGAGACACGGUCCAGACUCCUACGGGAGGCAGCAGUGGGGAAUAUUGGACAAUGGGCGCAAGCCUGAUCCAGCCAUACCGCGUGGGUGAAGAAGGCCUUCGGGUUGUAAAGCCCUUUUGUUGGGAAAGAAAAGCAGCAGGUUAAUACCCCGCUGUUCUGACGGUACCCAAAGAAUAGGCACCGGCGAACUUCGU